ACUCUCUGCCCCUCUAAAUAUAGAUAUGUGCUUUGUGCAAUUGAAUUGUUUCAUUCUUGAUGCUUUUAGUACAUGGUGGCGAAAUGGGUUUGUUGUGUUUUUUUUAUAAGUAAACCUGUUUUUGCAUCUGGGUUUUGCUUAGGUUUUAAAGAUUGAUUGGAAUAUGCAAAAAAGUCAGAAUUUUGUGAUUGGAUGUUAUGCUUUCUGAGUUUUUAAGUUCUUGUAAUUGGAGAGAAUAGCAUUGUCGAAAACAAAUUAAGCUUUUUAGGAUGGAGAACUUCUGGAAAUUGUCUUGUCGAAUCAAUAUGAACCAAGGAGACUGCAAUGUAUUUUUGCAUUUAUUUUAAUUAAGAGGAAUAAGUGUUACUUUGAUAUAGUUUGAAAACACUUAGAAUUGGUUCCCAAUAGAUGUAUGUGAAGUCAUGAACGGGCAUGACCUGGUUGGCAGGCAGAUGAGGCAGAAAGAGCUGCUAGUUAGCUUGAAAAAGGAGAUGAAAGUGACUUAUUAAAAAAAAAAAAAAAAGAGGACAUGAAAGUGUGUCUACAAAAAAAAGGUGGAGAAUUUGGAAGAGAGUGAAAUACUGGUGCUGUCAAGAAUUCACAGGGGAUGAUUGGGACAAUAUUGUUGAGUGGUCAGAGAAGCAUUGCAAAGGAAUGCAAUCAUUUUCCAAGGGCUGAUUAAUUCUGAAGACCACAUUGUGAGCCUUGUUUGAAAAUAAGUCAAGAUUUGUUAAGAGGGGCGCCAACCAUUUGCUAGAUCCAGCACUUACUUAGAGCUUUACUGCAAAUGGGGAUUUGCGGAUUCUGCCCUUCGGUAAUAGUAGUUCUAAGGCUGGUUGGGUCUCCUUGUGGAAUGUUGUUGUAAUGCUUAACAUUUACUUGUAUAAUUGGGUCAUUUGAUGUGCCGUUAUGUUCUGAUGUUUGUUAUAGUUCCAAUUAGUUGGGGCUUUGGGAGCUUAUUGUUGUUGCUGCUGGCUUUCCCUUGAUUGGCCUUGUUGUUUGUUGUGUCUGGUCUCUGUACUGUGUUUGCUGGUUUUCCAGCUUGUUUUUAAUAAAUGAUUUUUGCUUAUCAAAAAAAAAAAAAAAAGGACAUGAAACUAACUCUAAGGCAGUCUUUGAUCUUUAUUUAUAUGUCAUGUAAAAUCUGAUACUAUGGAAACAAUUUCAUCCCACUUUUAGAUAAAAUGUUUAUGUAAUGUAAAAAGAAAAUACAAAUGUAUUCAACAAAUGUUGAACGGUGUGGCGCCAAAUAUUUUUAGAUGAUAUAUGAGCAGCUUUUUGACAACUUACUUCCUCCACUUUGGAAACUGGAUAAGAAGUUAUCUUUUAAGUAAAUGCAAUGGAUGGUCCCUUAUUGCUGUAAUGACCAUUGAUCUUCCAAAUUGGAGUGGACCAAAAGGCUCUGUGGCUAUCUCAUAGGCAUUGAAAUGAAGAGAAGAUAAUUGGAAUUUAGGAUUAGGAGACACUUGCAUGUGCACUAUGUUGUGGAGUUUUUAAAAGGAUGAAAUGAAAUGGAAUGGAAUGGACGGUUCAUAAAAGAAUGGAUUUGAAUACAAUGUAUUUUCUCUGCUGUAUUUAGGAGUUUGUAAAAGAAGAACUGAAAAGGAAGAAGGGAGUCCAAUGUAUUCCUCCAUUUGAGGGAUUCAUGUAGUCUACAACCCAAGCAUCUAUAUUUCUUGCAAUCAUGAAGAGCUCAGGAUAACUUUCUUUCAAAGUUAAAUCUCCAUUCAUGCCAGAAAUGGAUCCUGCUUCCAUCUUUCACUUCAAAUCUUGCAAAUUUAACAAAGCUGUCCCAACCAUGCCUAAUAUGUUUCCAUAAGCACUCUACAUAAGUCUCCCUUGCAGCAUUCAAACACCGACCACCCUAGGAAAUGCCAUAUUUGAUAUCUAUUACCUUCCUCCAUAGAUCAUCUGCGUCCUCAAGUAAAUAUUUCAUCAAAAAAACACAUAGGGGCAACCCCUGUACACAGGAUGUGUACAAAAGUACACCAAAAUUAAGCACAAAACAUACAACUAUCAAGCACCUUAAGCACAGUGGCAAAAGAAAAUAAAGAGGAAGCAUUCAUCCACUCAAAUAAAGCUUUGAGGAAGGAAAGCUUAUGAUCUGGAAUGGAUUUUUUGCAUCCUUCAAAGAUCCUAGCAUUUCUCUCACGCCAUAGACACCGCAUAAGAUAAUGAGGUUUCACAUUCCAAAUCACCCUAUUGCCUCUACCAAACCUGGCUUGCCAACUUGUUAAUAGAUCCAGCAUGCCCCUUGGCGUAACCCACAAUACCCCUAACAAAAUGAACACCACGCUCCAAAGUUCUUGUGCAGCAGGGCAAUGAAGAAGCAGACAGUUAAUAGUUUCCUCAGCUUACUUACACACACAUCACUAGUCUAUGACAAUUACCCAUCUCCUCCUAGAGCUAUCGAUAGUCAAGAUUUUCCCCAAAGCCGCAGUCCAUAGAAAAAAGGCCACCUUAGUAGGGACUUUAGGCUUCUACAAACUUCUCCAAGGGAAGACCGGGUUAAAGGAAUGCCUCCAUGUAUAGCUGCAACCAUUAGCUUUUUUAAUCCUUAGAUCCCCCUAAUUGUUAAAGAGUGCACACAAUCUACCAAUUCACCAAGUAUAAUUUGUGAUCUUCAUCAAUACCACCCCAUUAAAACCCCCUUAGAAUUUUUUCCAUCUUAUUAGCCACUCCCACUGGCAAAUGAAAGAGUGAUAGAAAAAAAAGUUGGUAAACUAGAAAAUGUAUAUUUAAUCAGAGUGGGCCGCCCUCCUUUUGAUAGGUACAUUUUCUUCAACGUGCUAAUGAUUUUUCCAUUCUUUCUUGAAUACCAUCCCAUAUCUCCUUUGCCUUAAAAUGAGCUCACAAAUGUAAUCCUACGUAUUUUUUUGGAAGUCGUGAUACUUUGUUUGAGUGGAUAAAUGAUUUAGGUGCUUUUACUUUUGCCUCUUUGUCUGAGUUACUUGAUAGUUGAAUUUUUCAAGCAUCGUUUUGUUUGAUUUCUCUUUAUCCUUUGUACACUGCCUGUGUACUUGGAUUCAUUGCACUCUUUCAGUUUUUUCAAUGAAGUCUUACUUAUCAAAAAAAAAAAAAGUCGUCCAAGUUUGCGCCCAGAAGAUUAUGCCAAAUAUCUCAUGGUCUUCUACUCCUCCUCCUGGUACCAUCUCUCACAAAUUCUCUCUAAGAGCUGAAACUACUUCAAAGGAAAUUAGAAAACAACUUAAGCUCUAGAUUUGAUCAACAUUGGCAUUACAAAAGAUGAGAAUAUCGUCAGCGAUCAGAAGAUGUGAUAUCACCAAAGGUUCUCCUUCUGCAUGGUUAAGAAAUCCAUUACCACACCAAAAUUUUAUGUUGCUCUCAAUUGGAGUCUAGUAGGCUACUUUAAAGGGAGGAAAUAGCUUAGGCAUGGUGACUCUUUGUGCGCUUACCUAUUUGCAAUUGCAAUAGAGGCUUUUACUAUGAUUAUGCAGCUAAGUGUCAAGGAGUACAAGGAAAGCAGGUUGCUUUUUCGGUACCCAUUAAUAUCAGGGAGAUUGAGCUUUCAUGAUCACCUCUGAUUGAUAAAAUUAUGGUGGACAGCUAAAAAUCUCUCAUCAGGAAGACCUCAGCUCCUUCAAUUAGUAUUCUAUAGAAUCCAAGUUUAUUUGGCUAGUUGUUUGAACUGCCUAGAAGUUUGUAAAAGCUAUUGAGCAAGAAUUCAGUAGCUUUUUGUAGAAAAUUUGAGAGAAGUAUGUUGGGGUGCUACAGUUGUUUUGGGCUUGGAUUGUGUGCCAAUGAAAGGAGGUUUGGGGUUGAAAAGGAUAGAGGAAUGGAAUAAGGCAGCCGUUCUAAAGCAUAAUUAGAAUUUGUUUGUACAAGCAGGUUCUUUAUGUGUGACCUGGGUGCACUAUAACAUCCUAAAGGGGAAGAGCUUUUAAGUUGUUAGGGUCCCUCAAUAGUGUACCUGGGGCUGGAGGAAGAUCCUAAGCUUGAGGAGCCUUGCUAGACCUUAUCUGAAGUUUCAGUUGGGGAUGGGAUCCUUAUUUUCCUUACGCAUGAUUGGUGGCAUGCUGAUGGGGGGCAUGUGAAAAAUAUGGAUACAGAGCAAUAUAUGGUUCUGCUAGCAACAUGGAUGCUAAGGUUGCUGUGUGUUGAAGGGUUCUGACUGGUGUUGAAAUCAUGCAAGGCCAGAUGACUUAGUCUCCAUCCAAAGAAAAUUAUAUCUAAUUAAGCUAGAAGAUGUGGAUCAGCCUAUUUGGGUGGUUUCUCUCUCUUUUUUUUGUGGAGAAUCUAUUUGGGUUGUUUUUAAUUAUGCUAGAUUUUAGUCAUACUGAAACCCAGAAGGAUUUCUAUCCAAGCCUCCUGUGGUUAAUUGGUGGAGGUUGGUUUGGUUCCCUUUAGCCAUCCCUUAGCAUGCCCUUUAUCGGGUGUUUAGCACUUAGAAACAGGUUGGCCCUAGAGAUAGGCUCCUUUGAUGGGGAUACAAUGGAGACAUAAAUUGUGUAUUUUGUAGUGCCUUCUUGGAGAGCAGGAAUCCCAUUUUUUUCAGUGUUUGUUUAAAAGGAGAAUUUGGAAAGAGAUUAUGUGAUGUUGUCAGGUCACUAGUCCUAAAUAUUGCUAAGAUGGUGUUGUUAAUUGGGGCCUACAGAAUCUUAAGGGUUGGUUGGGGAAUGGAAAAGUGGGAGGAUAGAAAAUGAUGGGGAUGAAAAAUUGGAGGGAUAGAAAAAAUUUUAGUUUUCCCUCAUACUUGUUUGAUUGGAGGUGGAAAAGUGGAGGAGUGCCUUUUUUUGGUUUUGUUAAGAAGAAAAAUGAGAGGAUAGAAAAUAUUGUUUGAGUAAUUUACUCUUAUGUCCCUAUUACAUUUAAAAAAAAAAAAAAGUUUAUACGGAAAAAAAAAAGUUUACAAAAAUAAAUACCAAACAUGAAGAGGGGAGAAGGGCAUAUGGGUAAUUUCCUAUCUUAAGCCCAUUUUCUCCUCAAUUUGGGGAGAAAACUCUCUUCACAAAAAGUGGGCCCAGGGAGAAAACAGUUCGUCCCCCUCCCCCC